rnacentral:lncRNA from 1 species
AAUGAAAAUGACUUCCUUGAGGCAUUCAAGAGGCCAGCAGAAAUUGUCACUGGUUAUUUUGGCCAGUUUGCUGUGAAGCCUCUUCUUGGAUAUCUGUUUUGCAUGAUUGCAGUAACUGUUUUAGGCCUACCAACAACAGUAGGUGAGGAUGGUUCGUCUUAAUGUUAAAAAGUGCUGCUCAGAUGAACUUUCUAAUUUUUGGCAGUAAAAUGAAUCAGGCGCAGGAAUUGUAUUGGUGGCUUGUGUUAGUGGUGCUCAGCUUUCAAGUUAUGCUACUUUCCUGACUGAUCCACAAAUGGCACCUUUAAGCAUAGUUAUGACAUCACUGUCCACUGCUUCUGCAGUUUUUGUCACGCCACUCUUAUUACUGUUGCUCAUUGGGAAGAAAUUGCCUAUAGAUGUAAAAGGAAUGGUGUAUAACAUUACACAGAUUGUGGUUGUGCCUAUUGCAGCUGGCCUGCUUCUAAAUCGGUAAUACUAUGGUCUCAAUAAAUGUUAAUAUUAGUGUUUUGUUUUUAAUGGUUUCAUCUUCUUACCCAUUCAUUUUUUACAGAUUCUUUCCUCGUAUUUGUAAUGUUAUUCGACCAUUUUUGCCUCCGCUAUCUGUACUGGUGGCAUCUAUCUGUGCCGGAGCGCCACUUGCCUUAAAUGUUGAGACUAUGAAAUCCCCCUUGGGAGUCGCUAUCUUGUUGCUUGUUGUUGCUUUUCAUUUGUCAUCUUUUAUAGCUGGUUAUAUCCUCAGUGGGUUUGUCUUCCGCGAUUCUCUUGAUGUGAAGGCACUGCAACGAACAAUUUCCUUUGAGACAGGUACAAAGUUUCUCCAUUUUCAUACAUCAAAUGCCUGUAAUAGCAUGUUGCUUCAAUAACCUCAUUUAUCUGAUGCCAGGCAUGCAAAGUAGCCUGCUUGCCCUGGCUCUUGCUAAUAAGUUCUUCGAAGAUCCAAAAGUGGCUAUUCCUCCAGCAAUUUCUGUAAGUUCCCCCUCCACUUAGACUUCAAUUUCAGUCAUAUGUCUGGCAAUAUAAAUCCUGUCUCUUUUCUGUCACAUGUAUGUGUGACGCUGUGUACAUAUGUUCUGCUUGAUAUAUGAUUUUAAAUCUAUAAAAAAUGGGAUAGAAUGGUAUAUUAUUUAAAUUCCUUCACUGCAUACUUAUAUCAACACAGCUGAUUGGUUCGAUGUUUUGGAAAAUGCAAACUUUUGUUUUUGGUCAACAAAAUAGAAGGCACUGAAGUAUCUAAUUAUCUAUAUUGAUAAGACAAUUAUGUCACUUAUGUGAACAGUGGAAUGUGUUAAAGCAAACAAUAUAUUGAUAGGACAGUUAUGUGAAGUGUAAACAGCAUGUAAUUUUUUAUGCAUUUAGUAACUAUUGGACAGUUUUGUGCUUAGUAACUAUUUUAUAGUUAUAUAUGCGAGUUUUUUUUUUCUUUUUCUUCUAUGUAUGGUAUAUCAGUUUCUGCAUUUAGUGUGGGGAUUGUAUUUUGAGGAAGAUUUUUAAAAUUGGACCGGUCAGUCAUUCGAUAAAGGCACUGAUUCAAAAGGAUUGAAUUGAUUUUAAUAAAAUAAUAUUUUUAAAAAAUUAAUAUAAUAGACUAAGUAAUAUUAAACAAAAAAUAACUUAAUAUAUAUAAAUUUAUAAUAUUAAUAAUUAAAUUUCACUCAAGUGUUACUCAAUGAUAAUUGUAGGAAGUAUGAAAAAUAGUUAAAGGAUAAAAAAUGAUCAUUCGUCCCAUACUGUAUUUCUAAGUAUUUUAUAAAUUAAUUAUGAAUAUAAAAUAUAAUAUAUACUACAACUUCUUGUAACUUAUAUCAAUUUUAUUAUGAAAUAUUAUAAAUUAUUAUCAAUAAGCAAAUAAAGUGCAAAACAUUUUAAACUAUUUAUAUUUAAAUUAUUAAAAUACUAAUAUUAUAUGUUGUUGGCAAUUACUAUUUACAACUACGUGUGGAUCAGUGCUUUAGUCUUUAAUUUAAUCUUAAAUUAAAUAUGAUUAUACGUACUGCUUUAAUUUUGGUGGCGGUUACCGAUGGUCUUAUCAAACAGUGCACUACAACUCUUUUAUUGAAACCAUCACUUUUUUUCUGAGAAACAAUAAAAUAUAACCCUUUUCAUCUUCUCUCUUCUUUUUUGCUCAUUCUUAUUCUUUUUCACUGUUCUUCUCUUUCGGUAGAGCAUUUCUUCCUUUUUGUAGAGCUCUGCAAAUGGUGUUCUUCUGGUUAUUCUUUCCUUUCUGGUUCGCCGGAUAAGGUGAGAGAGACUGAUCAUGAGAAGCUGCCUUGUGAGAAGAGUCGUGACAAAGAAGAACGUUUUGAGCCUUUUUUUUAAAAAAAAAAAAAACUGUUUUCACGAAACCACUCAAACCGCCGGUUUUCCCGGUUCUUCACCGGUUCCAACGAUUCUUCAGCGGUUCAUUCACAGAACGGUUCUAAGGAACAUCCGGACAGGACAGGCAACCGGUUGAACCGGCCGAUCCGGUCCGGUUUUGAAAACCUUGAUUUUGAGUGUGAUCCAGAGAGGAGGACUUGCACUGGGGGGUUAGGCCUGUUUUUGUGUAUUUAAAGAUUUUACUCUGUGAGGGACCUUGUCCUGUGUUCUUUUACUCUCUGAAAUCUGUUGUUACCUCUUUUCUGGUUUAAUUCAAAAGAUAUAUAAACAAAACUACCUAGUUUGUGUGUGUAAGUGUUGAGUAUAACAUAUAUUAUUGCAUGACUAGACUACCUAGAGAAGUAGGAGGGCGUAGUGCUGUUUAAGAAUUAUUAUGCUAUCGCAAUAUAAGUUGCCAAAUUUGCUUGCAGACUUCAAUUAUGUCUUUGAUGGGAUUUGUUCUGGUGCUGAUUUGGACCAGAAGAGGGAAGAGCGAGAUAAAAAACAGCUCCUGAAAGGUAUGGAUAUCGGGAUAUAUGUUACUGCUAAUUGGUCCAUCUUUUGUUCUAGUGAGCAUCGGUUCUGCUUACUAGGAGGGAACAAUGGCAGUCAUAGUGAUAAUGUAUUAAUAUCAUAUUAUCUAUUCAUGACUAGUAGCCUGUUUCUUUUAGAUUUUAGGAACCUCAAAUAAGAAGUUUGUUGUGAUCAAUGAAAUUCAGUUCAUCAGUAACUUCUGUGGUUUAAUUUUUACUUUGUUGAAAGAACAAACCAAGGUGGUAUGGUAUGUAACGUACGCCAGUUCCUCAAGUUUUAGUUGCCGUUGGAUUUAAUAAAUGUUUAAUUGAAGGCUGCUGAGGUUCGUUACCUGCAAGUACUUAGUGGGUUCGGUGAUAGGCACCUUUCAGAAAGUAUGUAGAUGAUCUAAUUUAAAAAGUGCCUUUUCUUUAUCAAAACACAAAUAAAUCAUUCACAUUUUACUUUAGAAAAACCAGAAAAUUCCGAUUACAAUUAGGAACUUUAUUUGAUAUUUUAUUUUAAUGUUUUCUCUUGAGGAAGUUUGGCAAAAGAAAAGUUUUAUAAUAUCCCAAAAUCAUAAUUUAUUUGAAUGAUUAAAAUCUAUUUGAUUCGUCAUAAAUAUUGUUGAGAUAUAAGUUUAAUGUGCAUCAAAGAGUAACAUCAUAUUUUUAUUAGGAUUUUUAAUUAUUUAUUAUAUUAAAUAAUUUAAUAAAAGUAAUAUAAUAUUUUUAUUAUAGUAAAACUUUUUUUUAACUUAGAAAAGUUAGGUUAUAACAUUUUUUUGGGAAACAUAAAUAAAAAUAUAUGAAAAUAUUUUUUCUUAUAAAUUUUAUUUUUUUUUAAAUAAUCAAACAUGAGAAACAAACAUAUCUAACUGUAAAAAAAAAUUAUUGUAUCAAGCAUCUUCUAAAAAUUAAAUUUAAACGCUAAAUCCCAAUCUAUAUAUUUUAGGUGCAUUUAAUUAAAUUUAUUUGUUAAAAAAUAUUUUUUUAAUAAAAUAAGUAAUUUUAUUUUUUUGAUGUAUUUGCUUAAACUGUUUUUGUUUUAAAAAGAAAUUCUUGCUUUAAAAAAAAUCCUAUUAGUUUCUUCAAAAAUCACUUUUUAAAAAAAAUACUUUUAUGGGUUUUGAACCCUACACUCCCUUUAAGCAUCAUGUACCUUCUCUUUUUUUCUGAAAAGUAAAAAAUACAUUUAAUGAGAUACACCUCCCUUCCCCAAAUAAUCAUUUUGAAAGUGUAAAUUAUGGUUACAAAAUAGUCAUUCUGAAAGCAUAAAUUAUGCUUACGGAACAACCAUUUUGGAACACAUUGAUUUUUGAAAACUAUAAAUUAUACUUCUGGAUUAGAGAUUCCAUUAAAUGCUUUUAACAUUCUGGAAUAAGGAAUACAUAAUCAAUAAACAUGUUUUCAGAAUAGACACACUAAAAGCAUAUUUUAUGUAUUCCAAAAUGCAUAUUUUGGAAGCCAAUUUGUGUUCUAUAAUUGUCAUUUGGUAAGUACAAAUUUGGACUUCCAAAAUACCUAUUAUAGAUACAAUUCGCAUUAUUUCUCUUUCGGAAUAGGUGGUCCAUAAAUCAAAAAGUUUCACAAAAAUGGGAGAAGAUGACGUAAUUGCACGUGGACUACCUCACCGGAGUUGUCCAGCUGCAUGUGGACAACACUUUUGUUGCCUCUCUCGUGGAAGAGAAUCGUUGCGUAUGGCGGAGAAAUGAAAAGGAAGCUUGUGGAGUUGAAUGCAAAGGAGGAAGAAAAACCUCAUGGAGUUCAAUGCUAAGCUAGUGGCGGCAUCUCGUGGGCGUGAAGAGGAAGCUCGUUGGUGGUGGAGUUGAAUGAUGAGGAGAAAGAUGAAGGUAUAAUUUGAAAAGGAUGGUUUGAGAUUAUUUUAUAAAAGGGAGAUGUAGGAUGCAAAAAGGGAGGUGUAGGAUAUAAAUGUCUACUUUUAAAAGCACUUUUGCUUUAUUUUAUACAAAAAGUCCUUUACGGCAAUUGAAUUCUACACCUCCCAAAAUGUAUCUUGCACCUCCUAUUUUUUGAAAACCCUCAACCUACCCCUUCUAUCUUCUUCUUCUUUCUCCUGCAGCCGCAUCCCGUUCCCGUUCUUCUUUUCUUCCCACAACACAAUCUAGACUCCCUUUCCAAUUCUUUUUUUCUUCUCUAACUCUUCUUAUUGCAGCCAUCAAGGGUAUAAAGCAAGUCCAACUCAACGUCGCAAAAGUCCAUCUCCACUCUGUAGGUGCAUUUUAACACAUUCACAUUCACAUUGUGGACCUAUUUUCUGAACAGGCGUUCCGUGAUAGUAUAAAUACUCUUACAGAAUGACUCUUUUGGAAGUAUAAUUGUUAUAGAACAACUUUUUUGUAAGCAAAAAAGUGUUAUCUAGAUCGAACAUUCUGAAAAGUACAAAUUGGACUUUUGGAAAAACUAUUAUAAAUUGCUAUUUUUGCUUUGGGAAUGGGUCAUUCCAUAAGACAAAAUAGUACUUUAUGGAAUGACCUUUUCAGAAGUUGCAAAAUACACUUUCAAAAAGACUACUCCAGAUUGUAAUUCUUGCUUAUGGAAUGGACUUUUUGUAAGCUCAAUACUGAUUUUUAAAACCCCUUUUCAAAAUAUGUAAAAUACACUUUUGAAAAAGGUUGUUUCAAAUUUUAAAAAAAUCUUCUGGAAUCAUCUUUUCUUAAGCAAAAAUACUUUUAGAACAACCAUUUUUGGAAGUUUUUUUUGCUUACUGAAAGGCCAUUCUAGAAGCGUUUUUUGUUUAUGGAAAGGUCAUUCUAAAAGGUUUUUUUGCUUAUGAAAUUUUCAUUUUGGAAACUAUUUUAUAGUUAAUUAAAUUUGAUUAGAGAAAUCAAUUACCUUCCUAGGAGGAGGAACGAGAGGGAGAUGCUGUCGUGGGUGGUGGCCGUUGAGGGGGGUGGCCAUUGAGGGAGGGAGAUGCUGUCACAGGAGGUGUUAGGGUUGGAAGAUAGAAGGUGAAAAUUUUAUUAGAGGUAUAAUGAUCUUUAGACUAAAUAAUGGAAGGUGCAGGAUCCAAGAAGGAAGGUGUAGGAUUCAAGUCCUGCCCUUUACAUACAUGGACACACGCUCACAAGCCCAUUACCUGUUUUUGUUGUAUAGACUUCCGCAAUUGUUUUUUGUUUUCUCUUUGUGGGUACUCAUGCAUUUUGAUGUUUGGACUUGAGUAACUUCGGGCUUCCUCUUAUUUCUUAGCCUACGAGCCUUGUUUUACAUUAUUUAAUUUUAUUAAAGUUUUUACACUUAUUUAUUUUAUUUGACAUAAUAAAAUUAAAAAAUAUAUAAUUUUAAAAUAAAAAAUGAUUUGAAAUAAAUUUUAAAAAUAAUAUUUUCUGCUCACUGGGUAAAAAAAUCGUUGUUUCCUGAUCUAUUAUAUUAAAUUAGUCUUUUAAAUUAUGAACGUCCAUUAAUUUAGUUUUUAAAAUUUUUAAGGAUAAAAUUUUAAUUUUUAAAAUGAUCAAAUAAUGAUUAUUGGAGGAGUUCUUAAAAUUACAAUGACCACUGUUUAGAAUUAGAAGUUUAAAAUAGGCGUGGAAAUGAAAGAAGGAGAAAAGGGUGUUAUGUUAUCCGAAGCAGGGUGGAUUGAAAAGCACGAACAGGAGCGAUGGCCGCGGCAACGUUGUACUUGGCAAAACCGCCUUCGUCUUUUACUCCCAAAAUUCCGUUUCCAAGAGUGAGGGACAGUGGAAUUGGAACUGUAAAGUGUCAAGUUAAAACCCAAGUGAAAGCGGGUAUCCUGGGACUGGGUCUGGGUCUGUUCCACUUCCUUAACUUCGUCGAACCCGGUUCAUGUCUCCAACUGCAAUUCCACGAACCCCCCAAUGCCCUCUCUUUGCCCACAUGGGCCAUUCACGUGUCCAGUGUCGCUGAAUGGAUUAUAGCUAUGGCUUUGGUGUGGCAAUACGGAGAAAAAUCUGGAUACCCAGCUUGGAAGGGCCUUUCUUGGGGAAUGGUCAGUCACUCACUUCGCUUUCUUCACUCCAUUUUUCAUUCCUCCAUCUCUUAUUUUCUUGAUUGUUCUGUUCUAGGUACCUCUACUUGGUGGAGCUUUUUGUGCGUGCACAUGGCAUUUCUUUUAUAACUCUGAGUCCCUCGAGGUAAGACGGCUUUCCAUCCUUCAUAUUAUUGUUACUUUGAACAAUCUUAAUUAACAUGUUUGGAUGGUUUAAAAUAGUAUGAAAUAUCCAAUUAAUGAAAUGAUAAUUUUGCUCCAUUCCACUCACCAUUAUAUAUCUUAACUUAUCCUUGGAACCCCCGAGAGUUGUAUGCUUAUUUUAAAAUGUAAUUAAGAAUAUUUCAAAACUCAACAUUGGCGUUGCACCGUUCCUUGUGGAAACUUUCUUAUUACAGAUAAUUUGAGAAUUACAUACUUUAGACUGCAGAGUACUUUUGCUAUUCAAUAUUUAGAUUAUAAAUCACGUAUAAUUAAUUUCCUUGAAAGCAAUUUGUUGUCUAGGAAUAAACAAACUAACAAAACAUUAAAUAUGUUCUUUGUUUGUGUUGGGGUGGGGGUUGGGGGGUAAAGGUUGCCAACCCUUUUUCUAGCCCAGCAAAGCUCUGCCUGUUUCUGUUUCAUAAACUGAAAUCUAAUUUCAUUUCAUUUAUUACAACAGCAUGGCAUUAGUUUUUUGUUUUUAAAAUUAGAACCUGAAUAAAAACCUGCUUUAAAUUGAAACAUGAAAAAAAUUACUAUUUAAAGAAAAGUUUCAGGAAAGUAGGAAGUGAGUGUUAAUGGUGGACUUCUAUGGUUAACAUGCAAUGUCAAUUUUCUCUACUUUUAGUUUGUUAAAACUUAAAACAGAAUACUAGCUUGUUGAAAAAAGUAAGACUUAGAGACGAAGUAGGAGAAUCCUUUCCUGUCAUAGUGUAGAUUGUAGAAUUAGAUAUUACUAAUUUACUAGUUACUUCAAUCUGAACACUUACCCAAAAUUUGCUAUUUUCCCUUAAACUGAACAUGUGUACUAAGUUACCACUAAUCCACUACCAUUACCAUCUUUUUUUUACACAACACUACCAUUGCCAUCUAUACUUGUCAGAAUACAGCAAAGUAUAAUAUUUGGAUUACCAAGUUGCACUGUGAGAUCCAUUCUUAUACAUUACAUGCUGUCAUCUAUGUUAGUGUGACACUGUUGAGAAUAUUGUCAUGUUGGAUUACAAUAGUAGACAUACGGUCUUUCCGUCUUGUAAUAAAACUGAUUGACUGCGAAUUAUGCUGAAGAUUUGAAAUGAUUGGGGUUCCUUAAUGGGUUGUAGGUAUUGGUGGCUCUUCAAGCGGCACUGACUGUUAUAGGUAAUGCCACAAUGUGCAUAGCUGCAUAUCGGAUUUACAAAUCAUCCCAAGGCUCCUAGAACUUUUGAAUUGCAUGAAAAUGAGAAUCUGGAAGCAUGUAUAUAGGCCUCAAUGAAAAUCAAAGGCUUUUGCUGAUUGGUAAAUUAUCCUUCAUGGGCUGCAUGAAUGUGAAAAGUGUCUGCUGACAUACCAAAAUAUUUUAGUGACGAAGAUGGAAUCCAUGUGUCCUGAAUUCAGUCUCUAAUGUUUCCCAUUGUCUUCCAUUUUCUGUGACAGGAUAAACAUGCUAGCAGGUGCUCAUUCUUUCUGAAUUUUAUGCACAGUAGGUUCAUUGAUUUUAUGUAAGGUAGCUUUAAGUGUAUGGUCUGUACUAAAGAGCACAUAUUUAUUGUGUAAAUUUUUAACAAUAGGAAGAGGUAAGUAUAUCUGGUUGUACAUAGUGGGAUGAUUUCAAACAUUUUAUGUUGUCUACAUUCCGGUUAAAAGCAAUAGUUUAAUUUCUGUUUGAAUAAGCCACAACACCGAUGUGGUGAAUGCGAAAUUUGGAUGGGGACAAAGGGCCAAUGCGGCAAUGCUAAUACAGGAAUAUUAGUACUCGUGAAAUUGUGUUGGGGCUAGGGACACCAAUGUAUUAUAGUAUAUGUCUUCAGCUCUUCAUGUCUGUGUUUUAAGAAAUAAGCAGUGCUAAACGGUACGAAUUAAUCUGGUACGAGAGUUUGACAAAUGGCAUGUUAAUAUUUGAUUUGUUGAAAAAUAAGUUUUAAAAAUACAAAAAUCUAGAUUUUACAUAAAUCACGGUACUUGUGUUGUUUUUACUGUUUAUGUAAUUGAGUAAUAAUUUUGAGUUUAAUGAUCAUGCAUUAAUAAUAUAAAAUAAUAAAUCAUUGUUAAUAUGACUAUCUUAUAUUGUUAAUGCAUAUUAUAUUUUUUUCAACAAUUUUAGCAUUCUUUUUCAUAUCAUCUAGGUAUCUAAAUACUUAUAUUUGGACUUAUUACUUACAAUUAAGUUAAAUGAAAAUUUCAUUUUACAAUUUUUGUUGGGCUUUGGACUACUUGCAAGUAGAUUUUUUUUAAUAAACUUGCAAGUAUCUUCUGUCUAGGAAACAAACUUGUUUGCAUUGUGGACUUUCGCAUGCCUCAUGCCAUCAUGGUGCGGUUAACCUUCUCAAUAGGAUUUUUAAUGCAUGUAUAUAAGUUUCGCAUAUGAUAUUUUGUUCAAGGAAAUGAGAUGUAUCACAUGAAUUAACCACUCAUUAGUAAUAUAAUUUUAUAUUUUAAUUAUAAACACAAAAAACAUUUAACUAAAUUUAAAUUCAAUAUAAUAAAUAAAUUACAAAACAUGGUGUACAUCUAGUGCUUAUAAUAAACAGAAUAAUUACAAAACGUGAUAACUGAUCUCACUUUCUCCAUAUUAUAGUUGAAGUUUUACUCCUCAACUGUAUAUUACUAUUUUCUUUAAACAACUUUCCUUUCGUUAAUUUUAUGUUUUGUUUUAAAAAAAAUGAUGUAGAGAGAGGAAAAAAAUGUCUCUAUUUCCUACUUUUGCUUUUUUGUCAAGUAAACUACACUCACUCUGAAGAGUUAAAUUGGAAAAAUAGAUUGUCCUUUGGACUCAAUUAUAAAAAGAAAAAAAAAGUUUGGUGAAGUCAAAUAUAAACAAAAUUAAACUACUUUUAUCUUAUUCAAUAAUAUCAUCUAAAAAAUAACUUUCAAUUAAUUGAGAUUCUAUGUAAUUCUGCUUUUACUUGAAAACUCAUUUGUAUAGUUCCUCUCAAGGAGCAACAAAUUAUGACACCAUCGGUAUUGGACAGUAUAGGUCCAACAAUCUAAGAAUGACCUUAUACUUUUAAUUAGGAUUUGUGCCUAAUUUUUUUUAUAGGGAAGAGACAUUUAUUGGAAGGAUUUAAUUAGUGACUAGAUUGGCUGGUAUAAUGUAUUAAGAUGUCAAGACUCCUGUAGUACGUACGUAGUUGUAGCCAUACGUUUGCUGCUUAAUUAUACGACACUGUAACUAUCCAAUGGUGAUUUAUUUAAGAUUUAAAUAUCUUUUUAAUUUUUAUAAUUUUAUUAUUUUUUUGUUUUUAUUCUUGUAAAUUAUUUUUUAUUUUUAGUCUUUCUAAAUUAUAUUUUUUAUUUUUUCGUCUUUGUAACGUUUUAGAUAACACAUUUUUUUUAUCAUUCUAAGUGCUAUAUAAAAUACUUUAAGGGCUAAAAUUAAAACAAAUAUAAUUCACAAGAACUAAAAAUAAAAAUAAAAUUGGAAGGACAAAUUUUUUUAGAAAAAUUAUAAGGACCGAAAAAAUAUUUAAAUCUUUAUUUAAAUAAUAAAUACUAUGACAAAAAAGUUGUUAUUAUCAUUGAAUUGGAGAUCGAUAAUUGUGAAUAUAAUCAUAUCAUUAGAACCUAAAUGUUUAUUACAUUGUACAUGUAUUCAACCUAGUUGAAUAUCAAAUAUACCCCUAAGACCUUUAAGGCAUUGAAGUAUGAUGGUCUUGUGACAGGUAUUUAGUCAAGCCAAAUACUCGAGCACCAUCACAUCGAUAUAAAAGUAUCCAAUCAAGUCGAAACCAAGCCAAAUAACUAAGUACUUAAAAGCAUUCUCAAUAAAGAUGUUCAAGUAUUUGACCAAGCCACAUACUUGAGCACCAUAUCAAAUCCUAUGAACAUGUUCUAAUGAGAUAUUCAGAUACUCAAUCAAAUUGAAUAUCUCAAUACCUUGCAUGAACAUAUAUGCAUUCUUUAUAAAAGUAUUCAAGUACUCGGCCUAAUUGAGUACUCAAAUACCUUCAGCAUCACAUGAUCACUCUAGGAGUAUUUUCAGGUACUCGGUUAAGCUGAGUACUUGAACACUUCAACUUGUAAAUCAUGAUUAGAAGAUAUGAAACCAUAUUAUCUUAAGAAAGAACUUUUAAAGAUUAUCAAUAAGGUCUUUAAUGAUAAUUAUGAAAGUAUUACCUAAUAUGGUAAUGACAUACAAAGGCCCAUAAAAUUCAAAGUCCAUUAAGAUAUGUAUAAACAAAUGUAAAAAUUGAGAUAAGAUAUUGUUCAUUGCAUUAAAUAUUCAUUUAUUACUCUUAUUUGAGAUCUGACUUAACCGUUAGAAUAUCUUUGACAAGUAUCUUGUCUUUCCGAUUAUCGAACACCAAAUACUAAUAGAAGAAGACAUUGGAGAAGAAGUUAGCUAAGAGAAAUAUUAUAUGUUCACCCUUUUGUAGGUACAUUUAUCUUCUUUUAGCAAUUGGCAAUUCCAUCUGAGUUUAGAUUGUCAUAUGAUCAACCGGUGCAUUUUCUUGGUAGCUACGUAAAUCAUGGAAAACUGGAAUGGCUCGUUUGUACAUAAAUUGAAACUCUGUAAUUUCAAAGGAUGAUCCCAAUUUAUUAGGUAAUGGAUGUGUUUUUUUUUUGUUUUUUUUAUCAAAAUUAAAAAUCAUAGCUACUGAGAUCCAACUUUGAAGAGGCCUACAUAAUAUUUUUUAGCGAUGCUAGAUAUAGAUCUGAAGGAAUUGAACAAUCUUUUUUUUUUCUUUUGAUCUCCCAUGUAAUCCUGAAAUUCAACCACAUGCACAAUAGACCAGACAAGUACUACAAAUCAUUUCAAGUUGUGGUCCAAUCCAUAAUUAGCGAUGUGAUUCUUCAGAUGUCCUACUUCUUUUUCAAGUUAGCAAAAGCUGUUCCAUCUUAUCUCUACGUAAAGUCUUUUUUGCUAUCCUUAUCGAUCGAUGAUAAGAGACUUCACAGCUUGUGUCACCACUCACCACUCUCAAUCUAAAGUUGCUCUGAUCACUGCCCUUUUUCCUGAACAAAGCUAGUUGUUGUUCAUGUACAAUGUUGCCACCGACUGUGGACUCUCAUUCAUAACAUACAUGCUCGUUAUUAUUUGGUGAUGCCUAUGCCUUGUGUGAGUCAUGCUAUUGAAUCUCGAACGUAUUAUUUAUUCCUCUAAUCUCUUUUUGGCUUUUCCUUUGUUAGAAUUUUGCAUUCUAGCUAGCUUGGAAAUUUAACGAGUUGGCGCUGUGAUUGCUCACAUAAAUCUGAUAAUGUUCCAAAUUGAAGCUGAAGGAUUGAAUAUAUGAUAUAUGCUAGGAAAAGUGUUUAAGGUGCGGGGUUAAUUUCACCACACCCCACGUCCCAAAUUUCCCAAUUCUCCACUAAUUAGAUUCCACCGCAACUCCCUUUCCGGAAAUAAAAAAAGACAGACUUACACAAAUAAAAAAGAAAAAAGAAAGUCUACGGAAAGGAAAAUAAUCAGAAAAAACAAAGGUAAAAAAAGUUAAAAUGGAGAAUAAUUUCUUAAGUAUGUAUGAAAAAAAAAAGUAGAAAUAGAACGUGAUAAGCGGAGGAAGAAAUGAGAUAAACAUUAGGAAUUAAAUGUGGUAGCGGACAAAGUGUAUUAUGAAGAAGUUGUGUGUUUCAAUUAUUCAGUGGCUGUCACGUGAGUUGGCUUAUUGAUGCUUGGAGUUAGAGAGUGCUAUUGUAGUUUGGUUCGUGAGAAAUAAUGAGGGAUAGGGCAAGGCUGGGAAAUAUAAUAUGCACGAAAACUGUUUGAUAAACACAUGUUAUUCAAGAUUCAUAGAUAAAGAAAAUAUAAAUACGAUGAGAUUUAUAAUAUAAUAAAAAAAUGAGAAGUAUUAAAAAAAUAAUAAGGUGUUUAAAAUAAAUUAAAAAUGAUAAUGAUUUAUGUAUAUUACUUCACAUGCACAUUCACUUCGGACAUCAUUAAGUGGGGACCACAUACCUCACUCUCAACGUUGAACUUUUGAAACUCUUUAUUGAUGAGUCUUCAUCGCGUGAUCAAUCCAAGUUGGAUAGUCAUAAGGCCUGCAUUGGUGGUGGAGCACACCCUCCUCCAACUCGAUCUUGAAAUCUCCGUCACCAAGUUUUUUAGCCUUCCGAACUAAGAAUAAAAAAGAUAAAGCAUAUAUAUAUAUAUAUAAGGUCCACUCUAUGCCUUUAGCUUAGACAUAUCCCACUGCCAAAACUAGCUAGCUAGGGCCAUCUCUUCGUGUGUGUUAUGUCCUUCUUGCUAAAGUGAUUGUUCGGACCAGGUUGAAAGAUUCUUUAUUUCAUAAAAUAAAGACAUUAGUGGGGAUCCUAAUGAGACAAUAGCAUUUGAAUUAAUUUGGAGGGCGAAUAGCCAAGAGAAGAAAUGUAGAGCUAGAACAACUGGAUUGCAUAAUCUAAAAUUACUAUAGACUCAAUCAAUCUUCACACGAUAUAAUUAAAAAUUAUAGUUAUAUGUUGCAUGAAAAUUUAUUGGGACCAUAAUAUACUAGAACUUUAGAUUGUUGGUUAAAUUAUUGUCCAAGGUCAGCACUUGUCACCACCUAUCAUCUGGUUGAAGGAAGACAUUUCUAAUAAUUGGUUUCAUUGUUGCUGGCCUUCAACAAUAUUGGAUUUUAUGUUGAGUAACCUCAUCGAAUAUGAUGGCCCUAACUCAGCCCCAGCUGUAAUGGACAUGAUAACUAGAAUGCUAUUGGUUGCUUGUAUGUUGAAUCAUACUUGUCCUUCGCUACAAAAAUUAAAAAGAAAAAAACUUUGGUAGGUGAGAAUAUAUGAUGCAACCUCCGACAAACUGCCAAAAUGCAUAUCACCAUCUUUUCGUAUUCUUUCUAUUUUUGUUACAGCAAAUUGAUCACCUUCAUAUAGACCUGCACGUUCAUGCAAGGUAACAAUUCGGUAUGCUAGACCAUGUAUAUAUAUACCUUACGAGGUUUUUCUUUUUGAUAUGUUACUGCAGCAUUGCAACUUAGGCAUAUAUGUAACAAAGAUGUACAGAUAAUUUGGAUGUUGACAGUUGUAGACUUGCGGCUAUUUUUACUUUAAUUAAUAUUUAAUACAUACAUUAUGGUUGUGUUAUUUAAAUAUUAAGAUAGAGUAAAUUUACCAUUACAAUUGCAAUCAUGUCUCUGUAUAGGAGUUUCUCACUUUCUAUAUGAUACCCGUAAAGGUAUCAUAUACUAAAAAUAGCUGUUAAUAUUAUUAGAUGAUAAAAGUUUAAUAAUUAUUUAGUAAUCGGCAAGCAAUAAAUAUUCAUGAAUAAUUAGAUUAGUUCUAUUAAUGAAAAUUAAACUGAUAAUAAUAUUAUAAGUUUAUAUGGAGAGAGGUGUGUAAAAUACAGAGAAGAGAAAGAGCAAGUGAGAAAUGUAUAAGAGAAAGAGACCAUCCUUUAGAAAAUGAAGGGAGAAAUUAAGGAAAAUCGAGGAAGAAAAUGAAGGAUAAAUUAAGGGAUUUGACUCUCCUUUAGAAGAAAGUAAUAAGUGAGUAACUCACUUUUAAAGAGAGUAACAAAUCUUAAUUGUUAGUACUUAGAGAGAAAAUCAAUGAUUGAAACUCUAAUACAUUAAUGAUUUGUUAUAUAUAUAUAUAUAUAUAUAUAUAUAUGUGUAUGUAUACCGUUGAUGUUUUCAUCAAUAAUUGAAAUUUGUUAUUAUACUCUUUGGAAUGAGUUGUUCACUUUUGAGGAAUCAAAACAAAUUAAGUAAGGAAAAGAGGGAGAAGGAUGAGAAAUUGUUAAAUAUAUAGGUGCAAAAUAGAAAGACGAAGGGAGAAAUAAAAGGAAAAUUGAAGAAGCUGAGAGGAAGAUAUGCAAUAGAGAGAGGGGAGGAAAGAGAAAAACUUGAUAUAGAAUACAAAAUGGCUAACCUAGCUAAUAAAUACAAAAUCACAUAAAAAUACGUUUAAUUAUAUAUUUGACCAUAACUUGAAAUUUGAUGAUUAUAUGUACUUUCAAGCAAUUAUAUAUCACUUUUUAUAUUUUUAUUUAUUUUAGUAGUAAUUUAUCACCUUAAAAUUAAGAUAUAUUUUUCAAUUUUAUUAUCAUUUUUAUUAAAUUAAAUGACAUAAUAUAAAUGAAUUUAUAUUAUACAUUUGAUAAUUUUAUUUUAUAAAAGAUGACAUUUGAUUAGUGUGAGAGGAUGCACUAAUUUGGUCAUAGGAGAGGUAAAGGAUUUUUUUAAUAAAAUAAUGAGGAUAAAAUGAAAACGAAAAGUAAGAAGCUUAGAGCAAUUCUAAUUCUAAUGGGGAGUUGUUUGUUUUGAUUCUUAAAGUUAAUUAGCUAGCUUGAGAAUAUCAUUGGAGAAAACGUGCUUUAUAGAGAUCUUGUAGAAUGAUAUUUAUAUAUAUAGUUACAAUGAAUAUGUAACCUUUAAAAAAUAAUUUUCUAAGUCAAAAUGAGGGUGUUUUUGAAAGUGGAGAGAUAAAAUGACACUAUAUAAAGAUAUAUGUUAAGACUCAAGUUAGAUUUUACCACCAGAAUUUAAAAUAAUGACUGUUCUUAAAUCUUAUGUGAUAGAAAGCAACCUACUAAAAAAGAUUUAAGAACCUAAAUUAAAUUCUUGCAUUGAAAACACUCUUAUAAACUCAAAUACUACAUUAAGUAGCAUUUAAAAAAAAUGUUACAACCUUGUAAAAUAAACUCCUUUACCAAAUGAUUCCAUUUCAGUCCAACAAGCUUUAAAGCAAAUUACACAAGUAAAAAACAAUUUCAAUAACUAAUUUUAUCAAAACAUUGAUAAUUUAAUAAGUUAACUUAACAUUCUUUGCUAACUCCAAUAGUCUUUUAGCUUUUCGGUUAACUUAUAAUUUUUCCAUAUACUGUAUUUAACUUUUAUCAUACACAUUCAAUUCAAUCAAAGCUUAUAGUCACGUUUUCCACUUUCAACUAGCUUGAAAACUUGUGAUUUUACCAUUUAUAACCUUAAUCAAACGCAUUCAAUUCAAUUAAAAGCUUAUAAUUAACUUUUCAACUUUUAGAGAGUUUAUAUAUUUUCCCUUUUAAAAAAAAGAGAGUUUAUAUUUAUUAUUUUAAAAGUAAAGAUCUAUUAUUUUAAUUGGUCCACUCAAAAUUAAUGUGUCAUUAUAUCGCUUUUAAAAUUUAUUCUUUAAAGAUCUUAUGAAUAAAUUAAUUUAAACGAUUAACGUUGUAUAAUCCUUUUUUUAAAGCUCUUAAGUAUUCAAGAUGUAUUUGAAAGGUGAAUAAGAUUCUGAAACUUCCCACUAUUCGUUUUGGAAGGAGCGUUAUUAAAUAAGUUCACGAAUAUUAAGAAUUUUAUUCGCUGAAAAUACUGGAAACAUCAAAUUUAAGUUUUAUUGUAGGCUCUUGCCGCAAAGUUUCCAACAAUCACACUCAAUUGAAUGAAUUCAUAAGUUUGUAAUCAAGAACGUCAUGGCAACUAGAACUCAGCGUUGGACCAAUUGAUCAGAAGGGGAAAAAACAAAAAAAAAAGUGUAGGACAAAAAGUUGCAUAUUAUAUUUUCAAAGCUUAAUGGAGGUUGAUGCUUCUUCCCUCCAUAGUUUAUUCAAUUUGAAUAUCUACAUACAUUUGUAUAGAUUUAAAGGGAUCUCUAUCUUUAUUCACUUGUUGCCCCUUUUUGUGACAACUGCAUAGUCUGCAGUCCCUCUUUGCCUCUCCAUGGCAUUCUUUAGGAAUUUGUCAAAUCCUUGCAUUUGUUCCUCAACGUUGUUUGGAUACCACUUCAAAAAUAAUUUCAUAAAUUUACAUUUAAUUCUAAAUUUUAAAAAUAUUUUUCAAAGAUUUUUAUGUUUCACUUUCUUUUUUUGCUGCAUAUUAUGAUGUUUUACAAACAAAUCUUGAUUUCAUCUUACUUAAUUAAAAAUUAUUACAAACAGUAAAUUUGAUAUCACUUUUCAAUAGAUAUCAAUAAUUUCAUACGAAUAAAUAAUUUGAAGUAAUUAUUUUUGUAAUAUUUUUGUAACAAUACAUGUAGAGUGACUUAAGAUAAAGGUAGAAAGGGUGUAAAUUGCUUUUAGAAAGAAAGGAAAAAAAAAGUGUACGUAACAGUUUGAAGGAUUAUGCGAUACCUGAAUUGAAUAAACAUUGAUUUUAUGAUUAGCUUAGUUGAACCCUCAAGCACUAUUAAAUUUUAGGAAACUUGAAUGUUCUUCGAUUUUGGACGUAUUUGACAUUGGUAAGUAAGUAGCAAUGGCUCUUCUGAGUUUGAAAUGUGUUCGCAAAUCAGCAUGCAAAAUGGACAAAAACACACAUCUAGGAAACGGCACAACAGACAGUUUACGUGUAACAAAGCUAUUCUUUCGAGAGAAAAAAAACACCAAGACCUUUCAUGCGCUACAUUUGACCUUUAUUCUUUUAUAUUAACCUUAAUUGCUCGUAAUUAUCAUUUUCAUGUCUAUUAAACAAACGGUAAUACACCGAACAUAAAUUUAUUUAAUUGAGGCAACUGUAGAAUAUUAAGAUUGAAUAAUUCGUGGUACAUAGUAGUACUAUGGAAAAUAAAAAUAGCAGUAAUCCGUAAUUAGAAGGUGAAUAGAGCGGUUGGGGGAGUUGAAAGAAAUUGAAUGCUGCCGGCCUACGAUUCAUUGCGGGUGCGAGGUGACACUUCUUUUUCUAUUGAAAAAGAAAAGCAAAUUAAAAUUCAUUCCGAUUUUGCCCAUGUUUAAGGAGCUUUAAUUUGAAUUAAGCAAGGGCGUGCUGGUACUUUAGACAAUUCAUCUGAAGAAUUAGAAAUGGACCAUUAUUAGGCCCAGUCUCAGGUUGCGAUUGCUAAUUUUGAUGCCCGAAACGCAACUACGUAUGAGGAAAUAGCAAGUUAAAAAUACUAAGGUGGAAGCAGAAUUAAUGUGAUUCAACAAGUCCAGUGCCAGUGGUGCAAUGCAACAAACAGCAUGAAUAUUGUUUGUUUCUUUUUCUUUACUUCAGUGAGCAACAUAACAUAAAAUACAACAAACGCUCUUCUUAUCUUGAAAACAAUGGCCACCUCUCAGGGUGGUAACAGUUACAGAAAUGCCAGAACCUCUCUCAAACCACACGUCAAGUCAAAGCCUUCCCAACAACGCCGUAAUAGCACCGGCUCCGUCAACGGCAAGGAACACGCUGCUGCUGGUAAGCUCUUUCAUCAUCUCUCUCUCUCUCUCUUUGAGAUCUUCGUUUCGUAUUUUCCCUUUUCUGAUUAUUUGUAUGCAUUUCGGUGAUCGAUAAUUAUCAGCCACGCGUUAGUUUCGUGAUUGUUUGAUAAGUUCGAAUUCCUAGUUCGGAAUUAAUUGUUUUUCUUCUUCUGGAGGAAAAAUAAUCUUUCAGGAUCCGUUAAUUUGGUAAGAGAAAUCCGUAAAUAAAUGCAUGAACAGACGCGCGAGUGUUUAUUGAAGCUUAAUUAAAAGUAAUGUUAGUGUUCUCACUUUGGUUUGGUCCUAACAUUCACGUGCUUAUUAUGUUUGGAUGAAGUUCCCGGAAGAGUUAGAGUGGCUGUUAGAUUGCGGCCACGGAAUGCAGAGGAAUCGGUGGCGGAUGCUGACUUUGCUGACUGUGUUGAAUUGCAGCCAGAGGUAUAGUAAAUAUAUCCCGUAACUUUCUUAACAUCUUGUUGCUUGUUUCAGAACUCUCUUCUGGCUGCUGUUCGUAUCUUUAUGCGGUUGUUGGAUUGUUAAUCGAACUUGUUUAUCUGGCUCAAUUGCAGCUCAAGAGGUUGAAACUUCGGAAAAACAAUUGGGAUGCGGAUACUUAUGAAUUUGAUGAGGUGCUCACUGAAUUUUCAUCACAAAAACGCGUUUAUGAAGUUGUGGCAAGGCCUGUUGUGGAGGUGGGUAUUCAUCCGCCAGUGCUUUGGGUUCAAGCUCUAGUUAUUUGUUAAUCAGGUCCGUUAAUGUGUGAGGGUGCAAGAGCAAGUGGUUUCAGGAUCUCUGGUGGAAAUUUAAUUGCGUUUUUGUUAUCAAAUUGAUCGAAUAUGCUUUCAUGUUCAGCAAUUAAAAGCUAGUUUAAGUGAUGUGGGUUCGUUGUGUGAAUUCUUGCUUGGGUUUCCCUACUUUCUGGAGUUCAUCAUUAUUGAUUUCCUCAAGAAUCAAUCUGAAGGCUUUAUAUUUAUUUUGGUGCAUGCAUUUUUAUCACUGGAAAAUUUGGAAGAGUAUUCAUAUUUAAACAAAUGUGAAUUUGGGAAACAAUGCUCUUACUGUGGAACUUCCUUUUAUUUCAUGAUGACUUACUUUGACCUUCUGCAGAGUGUACUGGAUGGCUACAAUGGGACAAUUAUGGCGUAUGGGCAGACUGGUACUGGUAAGACUUAUACUCUUGGACGACUUGGAGAGGAAGACAAUGCUGCACGUGGAAUAAUGGUGCGGGCCAUGGAGGAUAUUCUUGCAGAUGUUUCUUUGGACACUGAUUCAGUCUCAGUCUCUUAUUUGCAGGUACUUUGCAAUGAAAAAGAUUUUGCUAUAUCUUUCUAAUUUAGUUUCAAUGUCUAUGAUGUAUGAGGUUUCUUAAACUCGUUGUUCAGCUUUAUAUGGAGACUAUACAAGAUCUGCUUGACCCUGCCAAUGAUAACAUAACCAUCGUAGAAGAUCCCAAAACUGGUGAUGUUUCAUUACCUGGAGCUAGCCUAGUUGACAUUAGGGACAAGCAGAGUUUUGUAGAACUAUUAAGAUUAGGAGAGGCUCACCGCUUUGCUGCAAAUACAAAACUGAAUACAGAAUCUUCUCGAAGUCAUGCUAUUCUGAUGGUAAAUCGAUUUGCAUAUCUUGCUAAUGGGGCUCAUGUUAUUGUCUUAGGAGUUAUUGUUCACUGUUCAAUAUUCCUAUUUUUAAUGUUGUUGGAGGAUUGAAUAUAACUUUGAUACUAUAGGUGCAUGUAAAGAGAUCCGUGAAAGGAAGAGAUGCGGCUCUUUCAAGUGAAAAUGGCAAUCAUUCACACGUGGUUAAAUCAAUAAAGCCGCCUCUUGUUCGGAAAGGCAAGUUGGUUGUUGUAGAUCUUGCUGGUUCAGAGCGAAUUGACAAGUCAGGUAUUUAAUAAAGUGAAUUUUGUGAUCUCCCUAAUUCAUCUGUUUUUAGUGACUUUAUAUUAUGAGAGGCUUUACUUUCAGGAAACAAUCCAUAUUUCUCUCCCAUCUUUUUCCUUUACAUUUUAUACAUCUUGACAUACAAAUGCUUUGAGGCAACAUGAAAUCUUUCUAAUUGCUGAUUGAUAUAAUUCAAACUUCCAUGCUCAAGGUAAAUAUUGAUUACCCAAGAUGGAAAGCUAUACAGUACUGAUUCUGCUAUUUUCUUGUUUUAUGGUUAUAAAAAUGACAAAAGGUUAUCAGGGAAUUUGGAAAGGAAAUAUGAAAUCUUGUCAAAAUAAACUUGAAUGGAUACUUAAGAACUAAGCCUGGUAAAAUCACCAGUUGCCAGUAACCUAUUAGUUAGGCAAUCCGGCUUGUUUUGCUUGGUACAACAUCUAUGCUGCUUAAUGAGAUCCUUACAUUAUUUGUCUUAAUAGGAAGUGAAGGACAUACAUUAGAGGAAGCCAAAUCUAUCAAUCUAUCCUUGAGUGCAUUGGGGAAGUGUAUUAAUGCACUUGCAGAGAAUAGUGCACAUGUGCCAUUUCGUGACUCAAAGCUUACUAGAUUGUUACGUGAUUCAUUUGGAGGUAAGAUUCAGUGAGUAUAAGAAUUCAUAUUUUAUCUUUGUUUAUUUAUUUUAUAACUAUAAAGCAGUAAGAUUCUCAAUUAUGGCAUGGUAUGUAGCGGAUGCUGACAGGUAAAACACUCUGGUAACCUGGAUCAGUCACCUUUUUCUGCAUGCAAGAAUAAAAAAUACCCCAAUAAAUAAAUAAUUAUUCCGGGAGACAUUCAAUUUGUACAUAGAGAACACAUGGUGAAGUUUGGAACACUUUCGGUGUAGUAAUCUUACAUUUAAGAAUAAAUUCCUGACUCAUAGUUAAUGUUUGUAGAUAUACUUGCAGAUAAAUCUUUAAAAAGGGUUUGUGCUUAAUGACUCAUAAGUCACCUCUUUUUGAAGUACCAUUGAUAUUAGAGGGAAAUCUUGGGUUAGAAAAUUCAUAGAUAAAUCAUUCCAUUCUUGAUUAGAGAUAUUACUACUAAAUACAUAUUUUGUUGAAGUUGUCAAUCAUCUUUAAAUUUUAUGAACCACAUCUAUGUGGUGUAUGUUUCUUGAAAUCUAAAAGUUUUAACAGGUACAGCAAGAACUUCACUAGUCAUUACUAUUGGGCCAUCUCCACGGCAUAGGGGAGAGACUGCCAGUACUAUAAUGUUUGGGCAGAGGGUAGGUUCCAAAUUCAGUAGUAUUUUCUUGUUUCUCCCCCUACUUUUAAGAUUAUUGUGCUGAAAUGCCCUAUGUUCCUUUUGUUGGUUGGCUUAACCUCCUGUUCUUCUAUUAAAUUUUAAGUCCUCCCAGGCAAUUUAUCUUUGAGUUGUGAGAAUAUUGCAUAGAAUAAUAAAUGACUGGGUGCCUUGUAACCAUUAUGAAAAUGCUGAACAUUUGUGCCUCUUGUAGGCUAUGAAGGUGGAAAACAUGGUAAAGCUAAAGGAGGAAUUUGAUUACAAAAGCUUAUCUAGGAGGUUAGAUAUAGAAUUAGAUAAACUCAUUGUGGAACAUGAAAGGCAACAGAAGACAUUUGAGGAUGAGAUUGAAAGGUUAGCCACUGAAGCACAACAUCGGAUAUCUGAGGCUGAAAGAAACUAUGUAGAUUCAUUGGAGGUUGGCUCCAUAUCAAUUUUAUAUAUCUAUGUUAUUAGUAUUGUGGUUUGUAUGAAAGAUUUUCUCUAACACAGUAUCCAAUUACAUAGUUUCUGCUACAGGUGAAUCCAUAGUAUCAAAUUUAAUUAGUCUUUUGAGAUUAUAUUGCCUAUAUUGACAAAAUAUGUCAAUGAUUUGAUGUUGAUGAUGUUCUGAUACUCAUUUUCCUUUCUCAGAAGGAGAGAUCAAAAUAUCAGAAAGACUAUAUGGAGUCAAUUAAGAAGCUUGAAGAGCAGUUUGUGAUGAAUCAACGAAAGAAUGAGGAAUCUCAUAUGAAAUCGAGUGGAGAGGUAGUGGUUUUUACUAUACUAUAUUUGUCUCAAGCUUAUUGCAAUAGAUAAAAAUUACUAAGACCUACAGAGUAGUGGACAAUUUCUCUGGAAAACAUAAAAGGAGGACAGAUAUGACCUGGGAAAAAGUAUCAUGUAAAGUUAAAUCAGGAUAAGGACUUUUGUAGCCUAACUUGUUAAUUUAAUGAUUUUUCCCCCAGUAAGUUUAUGAUAUGAAUUUGCCUCUUGAGUUAUGCUUAGGGCAUUUUUUUCUCAUAGAUUUAAGGACAAAUAUUCCAAUGAAGCCUAACUAAACUGCAACUUGUGAAUUUGAAAACUGAUAUUAGCUCUAUAUGAAAUAGUAAAGUUUGCCCAUUUAGUUAUUAGGGAUUUUCUUCAAUUGAGCAUUGGAGCUCACUGGAAUUAUCUUUUCCUAGAUUCCCAGAGUGUCUGCUGAGGAACUGGCUGAUUUGAAAAAAAUGCUUCAGAAAGAGACUCAUCUAAGAAAAGCUGCUGAAGGGGAAGUAAACAAUCUGAAGAAUCAAGUGGCUGAACUAAAAAAGUCAGAGGUUUGUUUUCGUGCCUCCAAUAUUUAUAUUUUUCAUUUGCAUGUCCUCUUCUCUCCUUGUUGGUAUCUGGAUUAAUUUUACACUGAAAUGUUUAUUGUAAUAGGCAUCAGGAAAAUCAGAGAUCUUAAAACUUCAUAACAUGUUGGAAGAUAAGGAAGGUCAAAAAGAGAAACUUGAAGGAGAAAUAGCAAUAUUACAAAGUCAAUUGUUGCAGUUAAAUCUUCAAGCUGAUGAGGUAGGCUAUAUCAAAAGUGUACAAAUGCCUCAGUUUAUGGAUUUUAUCUAGCAGAUUUUUCAUAAAAAGAUUAUCACUUCUGCAUUAUAUUUUUCUUCCCCCUUAUUCUCAUGGUUUUCAAUGUGGAGAACUUUUGAAUUUUUUGAAUUUAACCAGUUAGUCAAUU